rnacentral:lncRNA from 1 species
UGCCCCACCAGCUGCCAGCAUAGCCACGUGGGUGUCUGCAACAACAGCCCCACCCCACCCCACCUCAGGCCUCUUGGCUAUGCAGCUACUUGGUUCAAUACUACAGAGGCACAGGGGGACAUGAAGGCCAUUGUCUUGAGAUGCAGAAGUGAACAAAAGAGAGAAGGUGUCUCUCAGACUCCCUGAUGAAAACUGAAGCCCACUGGAAAAGUGAAGAGAAUCUCUAGAAUAAAGGCAAACCAGACCACCGUGCUUGAGACACAAAAGAGGAGUUCCAGAACAGGUUCAGAAAACAGCAAAAAAAUGAUGGGAUAAGCAAGUGUGAAGGAAGGGGGGAGGGUUCUAAGGGGAUCCAACUCAGGACCUUGCGCUUGCGAGGAAGGCGGCAGAACCACUGAGCUACACCCCCAGCCCUGUGAUAUAUCUUUUAAACAUUCAUUGUACCAUUUGAUAACACCUCAUAUGCAGCAUUGUUACCUUAAUUUGUAUAUUAACCAGUGUUAAUAAACAGUAUGAGUUCAUACCCUUUUUC